rnacentral:rRNA from 1 species
UACGAAGGGGGCUAGCGUUGUUCGGAAUUACUGGGCGUAAAGGGCGCGUAGGCGGCGUGUCAAGUCAGGCGUGAAAGCCCCGGGCUCAACCUGGGAACCGCGCUUGAGACUGGCAUGCUCGAGUUCGGGAGAGGAUGGUGGAAUUCCCAGUGUAGAGGUGAAAUUCGUAGAUAUUCGGAAGAACACCAGUGGCGAAGGCGACUCGCUGGACAAGUAUUGACGCUGAGGUGCGAAAGCGUGGGGAGCAAACAGG